GACGAACGCUGGCGGCGUGCCUAAUACAUGCCAGUAGAACGCACAGUUUAUACCGUAGCUUGCUACACCAUAGACUGUGAGUUGCGAACGGGUGAGUAACGCGUAGGUAACCUGCCUGGUAGCGGGGGAUAACUAUUGGAAACGAUAGCUAAUACCGCAUAAUAUUGAUUAUUGCAUGAUAAUUGAUUGAAAGAUGCUAUUGCAUCACUACCAGAUGGACCUGCGUUGUAUUAGCUAGUAGGUGAGGUAACGGCUCACCUAGGCGACGAUACAUAGCCGACCUGAGAGGGUGAUGGGCCACACUGGGACGGAGACACGGCCCAGAAUCCUACGGGGGGCAGCAGUAGGGAAUCUUCGGCAAUGGACGAAAGGCUGACCGAGCAACGCCGCGUGAGUGAAGAAGGUUUUCGGAUCGUAAAGCUCUGUUGUAAGAGAAGAACGGGUGUGAGAGUGGAAAGUUCACACUGUGACGGUAUCUUACCAGAAAGGGACGGCUAACUACGUG
rnacentral:rRNA from 1 species